rnacentral:rRNA from 1 species
CCUACGGGUGGCAGCAGUGAGGAAUAUUGGUCAAUGGCCGGAAGGCUGAACCAGCCAUGCCGCGUGAAGGUCAGUGCUCUAUGGGCGUUAAACUUCUUUUGUGCGGGAGCACUAAAGUUCACGUGUGCCCCGACGAGAGUACCGUACGAAUAAGCAUCGGCUAAAUCCGUGCCAGCAGACGCGGUAAUUAGGGGGAUGCAAGCGUUAUCCGGAUUUAUUGGGUUUAAAGGGUGCGUAGGCUGGGAGGUAAGUCAGCGGUGAAAUGCCCCCGCUCAACGGGGUGAAGUGCCAUUGAUACUGCCUUGCUGGAGUGCGGAUGACGUGGGAGGAAUGUGUGGUGUAGCGGUGAAAUGCAUAGAUAUCACGCAGAACACCGAGUGCGAAGGCAUCUCACGAAUCCGCGAUUGACGCUGAGGCACGAAAGCGUGGGUAUCAAACAGGAUUAGAUACCCUUGUAGUC